rnacentral:lncRNA from 1 species
GGGAACCAUAGCUUGGGAAAGCUGAAGCUCAAAACAGCCAAGUGGCAUUGCAACUAACCAGGUGAUAGCCUGGCAGGUACACGUGGCGUCUGAUCUCUGCAGGAACAACGGCUCUCUGGGAACUUGCCCAAGGCCUGGCAACUGGUGACACUCAAUGCAUUUAUGCUUGAAAAAUUAAGAAGCAAAAGAAUGAACACAGAGAGAGAACUGACACUUCUCGUGGAAAGGGCCACUGGAAGGAUUUGCUGGGAAACACCUGCCCAUUCAGACACCACUACAGAGAGACCUGCCGAGCAGAGAGGAGGGGGAGAAGAGGUGCCUUCACAGAAGGAGCCAGCAGAGUCAGGAGAGGAGAAGCCAAGAGCGGGAGAAUGAGGCAAGCAGAUGACACUCCAGCAUAGAGCUAAUUCUCGCGCCAAUGGUCUUGCAUUUGCCCAGGUGAUUGAAGCAGAUGCCGCAGCUUCAGGUUUGGGUGGAGGGAGCGAAGGAAGAGUUAAAGGACCAGUGAGAAGUGACUAGUCCCUGCAAGGCCAAGUCAAUGACAGCCAGGAGUGACCCCCAAAAGAAGAAAGCCCAGGGUCGGUCCUCCUGGGACAACAUGGCUGCUGCUUGUGGGAAAGAGGCAUCCAUCUCAGCAGUUCAGAGUCAGGACUCUUGACACAGCUGGUCUUCGGAAGGAUACUCAGAAUAAAGGGGAUAUCUCUCUGUCUGUCUUUUUCUCUCUCUCUUCAUAUUUUUGCCUCUGUCCAUAAAGACAGUGACAUUGCUGCCCAACUGCUUAUCCGCACAAAAGAAUGCAGUACUGGGGGAAUGCAUCAGCCGCCCACCGCACCCUUUAUUGGCAGUUCCUCAUUGAAGGGCCUCAUCUUUUAAAAGCAGAUUUUGCAGGGGAAAAUGUCAACAUGGACACCUAGGCAGGAGAAGCCAGAGCCAGGAGACACUUCAGGCAGCAGAAAAGGACGAGGGUGGACCACCUGGAGCAUGUUAUGUCUGAGAUGUUGACCUUCAAUUCACUCAUCUCACAGGAAUCUCAUUUACAGUCAUAGGUUGCAGGUCAUAGAUUCCUCCCAGUUGGAGGCACCACCAAUUCGUACUAGCAAGGCCUUGAUCCAUCGGGGCAGAUAAGCUUGCAAGAGUAGAGACUGGGCCAUGAAACACCUAAUGGCCCGGAGGCUCCUGCAGUCUUAAUCAAUGCUUCUCAAAGUGUGGUCCCCAGAGAAGUAGUAGCAUUAGUAACACCUGGGAACUUGUAAAACAUGCAAAUUCUCAGAUCCCAACAGAACAACUGAGUCAGAAAUUCUG